UUAAUGUGAUGACUAGCCAUGCUAAUACCGAGAAAGUUUUAGACUUUCACUGAGUUUAACAUAGCCUAACUGACUAUUGUCUUUUUAAA